CCCUAGAGGAGCCUGUUCCAUAAUCGAUAAACCCCGAUCCACCUCACCCUCUCUUGCUUAGCCUAUAUACCGCCAUCUUCAGCAAACCCUGAUAAAGGUUACAAAGUGAGCACAAACGCCCUACCGCCGCAAAAACGUUAGGUCAAGGUGUAGCCAAUGAAAGGGUAAAAAUGGGCUACAUUUUCUACAUCAGAAAACUCCACGAAAACUCUUAUGAAACCUGAGAGUCCAAGGAGGAUUUAGCAGUAAAUUAAGAAUAGAGUGCUUAAUUGAACCAGGCCAUAAAGCGCGUACACACCGCCCGUCACUCCCCUCAAAUAUAUUUAAGGAACAUCCUAACUAAACGCCCUAACAUUUAUAUAGAGGGGACAAGUCGUAACAUGGUAAGUGUACUGGAAGGUGCACUUGGAC
rnacentral:rRNA from 1 species